GUGGGGAAUAUUGGGCAAUGGGCGAAAGCCUGACCCAGCAACGCCGCGUGAAGGAAGAAGGUCUUCGGAUCGUAAACUUCUAUCCUUGGUGAAGAUAAUGACGGUAGCCGAGAAGGAAGCCCCGGCUAACUACGUGCCAGCAGCCGCGGUAAUACGUAGGGGGCAAGCGUUGUCCGGAAUGAUUGGGCGUAAAGGGCGCGUAGGCGGCCUGGUAAGUCUGGAGUGAAAGUCCUGCUUUUAAGGUGGGAAUUGCUUUGGAUACUGUCGGGCUUGAGUGCAGGAGAGGUAAGUGGAAUUCCCGGUGUAGCGGUGAAAUGCGUAGAGAUCGGGAGGAACACCAGUGGCGAAGGCGACUUACUGGACUGUAACUGACGCUGAGAUGCGAAAGCCAGGGUAGCGAACGGGAUUAGAUACCCGAGUAGUCC
rnacentral:rRNA from 1 species